rnacentral:rRNA from 1 species
AAAGAAAUACUAAAGCUUCUGGAGGCAGGUAUAAUUUAUCCCGUUGCUGAUAGUCAGUGGGUAAGUCCUGUCCAUUGUGUCCCUAAGAAGGGAGGUAUUACUGUUGUUCCUAAUGAUAAAGAUGAAUUGACCCCACAAAGAAUCAUUACAGUUUAUAGAAUGGUAAUUGAUUUCCGCAAACUAAAUAAAGCUACUAAAAAGGAUCAUUACCCUUUACCUUUCGUUGAUCAAAUGCUAGAAAGAUUAUCCAAACACACACAUUUUUGCUUUCUAGAUGGUGAUUCCGGUUUCUCUGAAAUACCUUUGUCAAAAGAGGAUCAAGAAAAGACCACUUUUACUUUCCCUUUCGGUACCUUUGCUUAUAUA